rnacentral:rRNA from 1 species
AUGCACGCUGGCGGCGUGCUUAACACAUGCAAGUCGAACGGAAAGGCUCCUGCUUGCAGGGGUACUCGAGUGGCGAACGGGUGAGUAACACGUGGGUGAUCUGCCCUGCACUUCGGGAUAAGCCUGGGAAACUGGGUCUAAUACCGGAUAGGACGAUGGUUUGGAUGCCAUUGUGGAAAGUUUUUCGGUGUGGGAUGAGCUCGCGGCCUAUCAGCUUGUUGGUGGGGUAAUGGCCUACCAAGGCGUCGACGGGUAGCCGGCCUGAGAGGGUGUACGGCCACAUUGGGACUGAGAUACGGCCCAGACUCCUACGGGAGGCAGCAGUGGGGAAUAUUGCACAAUGGGCGCAAGCCUGAUGCAGCGACGCCGCGUGGGGGAUGACGGCCUUCGGGUUGUAAACUCCUUUCGCUAGGGACGAAGCGCAAGUGACGGUACCUGGAGAAGAAGCACCGGCUAACUACGUG